rnacentral:rRNA from 1 species
GGCACUACGGUGCUGAAGCAACAAAUGCCCUGCUUCCAGGAAAAGCCUCUAAGCAUCAGGUAACAUCAAAUCGUACCCCAAACCGACACAGGUGGUCAGGUAGAGAAUACCAAGGCGCUUGAGAGAACUCGGGUGAAGGAACUAGGCAAAAUGGUGCCGUAACUUCGGGAGAAGGCACGCUGACACGUAGGUGAAGUGAUUUACUCAUGGAGCUGAAGUCAGUCGAAGAUACCAGCUGGCUGCAACUGUUUAUUAAAAACACAGCACUGUGCAAACACGAAAGUGGACGUAUACGGUGUGACGCCUGCCCGGUGCCGGAAGGUUAAUUGAUGGGGUCAGCGCAAGCGAAGCUCCUGAUCGAAGCCCCGGUAAACGGCGGCCGUAACUAUAACGGUCCUAAGGUAGCGAAAUUCCUUGUCGGGUAAGUUCCGACCUGCACGAAUGGCGUAAUGAUGGCCAGGCUGUCUCCACCCGAGACUCAGUGAAAUUGAACUCGCUGUGAAGAUGCAGUGUACCCGCGGCAAGACGGAAAGACCCCGUGAACCUUUACUAUAGCUUGACACUGAACAUUGAGCCUUGAUGUGUAGGAUAGGUGGGAGGCUUUGAAGCGUGGACGCCAGUCUGCGUGGAGCCAACCUUGAAAUACCACCCUUUAAUGUUUGAUGUUCUAACGUGGACCCGUAAUCCGGGUUGCGGACAGUGUCUGGUGGGUAGUUUGACUGGGGCGGUCUCCUCCUAAAGAGUAACGGAGGAGCACGAAGGUUGGCUAAUCCUGGUCGGACAUCAGGAGGUUAGUGCAAUGGCAUAAGCCAGCUUGACUGCGAGCGUGACGGCGCGAGCAGGUGCGAAAGCAGGUCAUAGUGAUCCGGUGGUUCUGAAUGGAAGGGCCAUCGCUCAACGGAUAAAAGGUACUCCGGGGAUAACAGGCUGAUACCGCCCAAGAGUUCAUAUCGACGGCGGUGUUUGGCACCUCGAUGUCGGCUCAUCACAUCCUGGGGCUGAAGUAGGUCCCAAGGGUAUGGCUGUUCGCCAUUUAAAGUGGUACGCGAGCUGGGUUUAGAACGUCGUGAGACAGUUCGGUCCCUAUCUGCCGUGGGCGCUGGAGAACUGAGGGGGGCUGCUCCUAGUACGAGAGGACCGGAGUGGACGCAUCACUGGUGUUCGGGUUGUCAUGCCAAUGGCACUGCCCGGUAGCUAAAUGCGGAAGAGAUAAGUGCUGAAAGCAUCUAAGCACGAAACUUGCCCCGA